UAAGUCAGAAUCAGGAUUUGAACCUAGCC
rnacentral:piRNA from 1 species